rnacentral:rRNA from 1 species
GACGGGGGGGGCAAGUGUUCUUCGGAAUGACUGGGCGUAAAGGGCGCGUAGGCGGUGAAUCGGGUUGGAAGUGAAAGUCGCCAAAAACUGGCGGAAUGCUCUCGAAACCAAUUCACUUGAGUGAGACAGAGGAGAGUGGAAUUUCGUGUGUAGGGGUGAAAUCCGGAGAUCUACGAAGGAACGCCAAAAGCGAAGGCAGCUCUCUGGGUCCCUACCGACGCUGGGGUGCGAAAGCAUGGGGAGCGAACAGG